UGAGGAAUAUUGGUCAAUGGGCGAGAGCCUGAACCAGCCAUGUCGCGUGCAGGAAGACGGCCCUAUGGGUUGUAAACUGCUUUUGUACGGGAAGAAAAAUAGCUACGAGUAGUUACUUGCCGGUACCGUACGAAUAAGGAUCGGCUAACUCCGUGCCAGCAGCCGCGGUAAUACGGAGGAUCCGAGCGUUAUCCGGAUUUAUUGGGUUUAAAGGGUGCGUAGGCGGGCUUUUAAGUCAGCGGUGAAAUUUUGCGGCUCAACCGUAACACUGCCGUUGAAACUGUUAGUCUUGAAUUUAGUUGAAGUAGGCGGAAUGUGUUGUGUAGCGGUGAAAUGCUUAGAUAUAACACGGAACACCGAUUGCGAAGGCAGCUUACUAAGCUAUAAUUGACGCUGAUGCACGAAAGCGUGGGUAGCGAACAGG
rnacentral:rRNA from 2 species